GUGAAUCAUCAAAUUUUUGAACGCGAAUUGCACUCUCUUCGGAGAGUAUGCCUGUUUGAGGGUCAGCCUAAAAAAAAUCUGCGUAGUCGCUGUGUCGAGGUGGCAGUCGUCUGAAAUUUUAUGAUCUUAAACCUUUGGUGGUUUUAAACAGCUUAAGAGUUUCUUUACGAUUCCACGAGCGUUUCUAAAAUUUUACUUCUUACACACGUUUAAAGUGUGAAUGUUUAUUGGACGUGGCGGUUGCAUCGAAUCUCGUCCAUAAAUAUUCCGUUAAGUGACC
rnacentral:misc_RNA from 1 species